UACGUAGGGUGCAAGCGUUGUCCGGAAUUAUUGGGCGUAAAGAGCUCGUAGGCGGUUUGUCGCGUCGGGUGUGAAAUCCCGGAGCUCAACUCCGGGCCUGCAGUCGAUACGGGCAGACUUGAGUGUUGCAGGGGAGACUGGAAUUCCUGGUGUAGCGGUGAAAUGCGCAGAUAUCAGGAGGAACACCGGUGGCGAAGGCGGGUCUCUGGGCAGCAACUGACGCUGAGGAGCGAAAGCGUGGGGAGCGAACAGG
rnacentral:rRNA from 1 species